rnacentral:rRNA from 1 species
AUGUGCGUCUUCCUCCCCGACGCACGCGACGGGCUGUGGGAGCUCACCGACAAGAUGGCCUGCGACCCCGACUUUGUGCGCAAGCACCUGCCGUGUGGCGACGUCAUGGUCAGCGAUUUCCGUCUGCCUAAAUUCAAGGUCAGCUUCGGCAUGACAAUGGAGGGCGUUCUCCAGGACAUGGGCCUCAACGAGGCGUUCGAGCCGGGGAAGGCCGACUUGUCCGACAUGGCGGAAGACGGCGCAGGGAAGCUGGCGCUGGAGAAGGCACCGAGGCGAACGAGGAAGGCACCGAGGCCGCGGCUGCCACCGUUGCGACCGUGA